rnacentral:misc_RNA from 1 species
CACCACUCAAGCCUCGCUUGGUAUUGGGCGAUGCGGUCCGCCGCACGCCUCAAAUCGACCGGCUGGGUCGAUCGCACCCUCAGCGUUGUGGAAACUAUUCGCUAAAGGAGUUGUGGUCGGUCACGCCGUGAAACAAACCAAUUUUCAAU